rnacentral:rRNA from 1 species
UACGUAGGGGGCAAGCGUUGUCCGGAAUUAUUGGGCGUAAAGAGCUCGUAGGCGGUGUGUCGCGUCGGCCGUGAAAACCUGCAGCUUAACUGUGGGCGUGCGGUCGAUACGGGCAUCACUGGAGUUCGGCAGGGGAGACUGGAAUUCCUGGUGUAGCGGUGAAAUGCGUAGAUAUCAGGAGGAACACCGAUGGCGAAGGCAGGUCUCUGGGCUGACACUGACGCUCAUGCACGAAAGCGUGGGGAGCAAACAGG